GAUGAACGCUAGCUACAGGCUUAACACAUGCAAGUCGAGGGGCAGCGGUAUCGAAAGCUUGCUUUCGGUAGCCGGCGACCGGCGCACGGGUGAGUAACGCGUAUCGAACCUGCCUCAUACUCCGGAAUAGCCUUGCGAAAGUAAGAUUAAUGCCCGGUGUUUUCCGAGUCCCGCAUGAGGCUUUGAACAAAGAUUUAUCGGUAUGAGAUGGCGAUGCGUCCCAUUAGCUUGUUGGCGGGGUAACGGCCCACCAAGGCAUCGAUGGGUAGGGGUUCUGAGAGGAAGGUCCCCCACAGUGGAACUGAGACACGGUCCAAACUCCUACGGGAGGCAGCAGUGAGGAAUAUUGGUCAAUGGGCGGAAGCCUGAACCAGCCAAGUAGCGUGCAGGAAGACGGCCCUCCGGGUUGUAAACUGCUUUUAGUUGGGAAUAAAACGGGGCUCGUGAGCCCCCUUGCAUGUACCAUCAGAAAAAGGACCGGCUAAUUCCGUG
rnacentral:rRNA from 1 species